GACGAACGCUGGCGGCGUGCCUAAUACAUGCAAGUCGAGCGCAGGAAAUCAUCCGAACCCUUCGGGGGGACGUUGAUGGAAUGAGCGGCGGACGGGUGAGUAACACGUAAAGAACCUGCCCUCAGGUCUGGGAUAACCACGAGAAAUCGGGGCUAAUACCGGAUGGGUCAUCGGACCGCAUGGUCCGAGGAUGAAAGGCGCUUCGGCGUCGCCUGGGGAUGGCCUUGCGGUGCAUUAGCUAGUUGGUGGGGUAAUGGCCCACCAAGGCGACGAGCGAUAGCCGACCUGAGAGGGUGAUCGGCCACACUGGGACUGAGACACGGCCCAGACUCCUACGGGAGGCAGCAGUAGGGAAUCUUCCACAAUGGACGAAAGUCUGAUGGAGCAACGUCGCGUGAACGAUGAAGGCCUUCGGGUCGUAAAGUUCUGUUGUAAGGGAAGAACAAGUGCCGCUGGCAAUGGCGGCACCUUGACGGUACCUUGCGAGAAAGCCACGGCUAACUACGUGCCAGCCGCCGCAGUAAUAC
rnacentral:rRNA from 1 species